rnacentral:rRNA from 1 species
GACGAACGCUGGCGGCGUGCCUAACACAUGCAAGUCGAACGGAAAGUCUAUACCGUAGUUUGCUACACCAUAAACUGUGAGUUGCGAACGGGGGAGUAACCCGUAGGUAACCUGUCGGGUAGCGGGGGGUAACUAAUGGUAACGAUAGAUAAUACCGCAUAAUAGUGUGUAUUGCAUGAUAAUUGGUUGAAAGAUGCUAUGACUUCACUGCUAUAGGGUUCUGCGUUGUAUUAGCUAGUAGGCGAGGGAACGGCUCACCUAGGCGGGGAUACAUAGCCGAGCGGAGAGGGUGGUCCGCCAGCCUUGGACGGAGACCCGGCCCAGACGCCUACGGGAGGCAGCAGUAGGGCAACUUCGGCCAAGGACGAGAGUCUGACCCAACACCGCCGCGGGAGUGAAGAAGGAUUUCGGAUCGUAAAGCUCUGUUGUAAGGGAAGAAAGGGUGUGAGAGUGGAAAGUUCACGUUGUGACGGUAUCUUACCAAAAAGGGACGGCUAACUACGUG